UACGAAGGGGGCUAGCGUUGUUCGGAAUUACUGGGCGUAAAGCGCACGUAGGCGGACUAUUAAGUCAGGGGUGAAAUCCCGGGGCUCAACCCCGGAACUGCCUUUGAUACUGGUAGUCUCGAGUCCGGAAGAGGUGAGUGGAAUUCCGAGUGUAGGGGUGAAAUUCGUAGGUACUAGGAAGAACACCAGUGGCGAAGGCGGCUCACUGGUCCGGUACUGACGCUGAGGUGCGAAAGCGUGGGGAGCAAACAGG
rnacentral:rRNA from 1 species